AGUUUCAUUAGUCAUCCAAGAGUAGCUAAAAUAAUUUUAGUUAGCUAAAAUUUAGCAAGGCCCUUAGUGUAUAGCAAUAUAUGUGCCAUGCUUCACAAAUUGGUAUCAACCACUACUUUUGACUUCAGUCAGUGCAAGCAAGCGUAAUACUACUGCGACCGCGCACAUCGUGUCUAUCGGAAGAUAUACAUAGUGGAUGAAAAGCAUGAACCUUUAUCUUAACAACAUUAUAUUACCUGAAGCGUGUCCACAGCUGAGGGUACCAUGAAUGUAUUGUGGCGAUUUCCAUGGUGUCCAUAUGUUCCUUUUGGACCAGAUACUCCACAUGAUAAUGGUCACACUUUAGGGCUCUAGUGUAUUGUACUUGGCAUGCUAGUACAGAGCUUCACUGCCUCGCAGCCUAUCCAACGCGUGGGUCGCGUGAAAAAUUUUCCGUCGCUUGAUCUUGUUUCUACGGUCCCAAAUUAGCCCACAAACAUUUACUGUACCUGCCCCACGUGUCAGAGCCUUUAACGGUGAGGCACUGAGGCAUGCCCAGCAGUGGCCCUCGUGCAAUCUGGCCAUUUUUGACGUAGUCCGAAUGAAGAGAAAACUCAUCUUCUGCAGCGUCGGGGCCUCAACCACCUUGGGUCCCUACACGCUCUUUGACAAAUCCAAGAGCGGCCUCAUGCACCUUUGCCAAUGUUGGCCCUAAAAGUGCAUUUAGCCCUCGUAGUGGGUUUUAGUAAUUGAAUAACACUACUACAUACAAUAACUUUUACCGUGGUAGGUAGAAUGACUUUACUAAGGCGGUUUUUGCAACCGCCUCGGAUGAAAGGUUACGGUUAAUGUUGGCCUUUUCUGAGGCGAUUUGUUGUCCGUCUCGAUAAAUGAAAUAAAAAACAAAAAAUAAAUAAAAAGCCUGUCAAGCCCAUCAUGGGCCCACCAAGCCCAACCACUUGAUCCGGUUGCUGCCUCUGCCCCCACUACCGCCGCUGCCGCUUGUCGGAUCCGACCGCCCCACCACUGGAUCUGGCCCCAACCCCGUCGCCUCGCCCGCGCCCCACCACUGGAUUCGGCCUCCACGUCGCAAGAUGUGGCUGAGGCAGGAAGGGAGGGGGCGCAGUGUUGAAGGAGGAAGGGGAGGGGACGCUGUGCUUAGGAGGUGGGUUUUUUCGAACCGCCUCGGUUAAUGAAAAAUGACUGUCUUGGUUAAUUGAGGCAUUAACUGAGGUGGUUUAAAAAUCUGCCCGCCUCCAAGGCCUAUUUGUAAACGCCGCGCAAAAGAUUUUGUGUAGCAGUGAAAUAGAGUUCUUUGCGACAAUUAUUAUCAAACUCUUGUCAAAUCACAAAUGAAGAAAAAGGCAAGUACAAACAUUCUCUCUGCCAUGUUGUCCUCAUCUCCUCGCCUAGCAGCAUGAUCAAAGGCAUCGCGAGAGAACGAGAUAGAGCUGGAUCAAGGGGGGCAAAGAGGGUAUUUGAAUGCGGAGAGGUAUGGUCUGAGGGCCUAGACAGAGAGCGACAAGAGAUGAGGGUGGAGCUUAACAGUCAUGUUCCCAGAAGAAAACAGGAUGCGUGAAACAGGAGCUUAAAGUGGUA
rnacentral:lncRNA from 1 species